UACGGGGGGGGCAAGCGUUGUUCGGAAUUACUGGGCGUAAAGGGCGCGUAGGCGGCCUGCUAAGUCGGAUGUGAAAUCCCUCGGCUCAACCGAGGAACUGCAUCCGAUACUGGCGGGCUUGAAUCCGGGAGAGGGAUGUGGAAUUCCAGGUGUAGCGGUGAAAUGCGCAGAUAUCGGGAGGAACACCAGUGGCGAAGGCGGCACUCUGGGCCGGUACUGACGCUGAGGAGCGAAAGCGUGGGGAGCGAACAGG
rnacentral:rRNA from 1 species